GCUCAUUUUUGACAGCAUGUGGUAAAACUGGAACGACAGAGAGUUUAUAGCAUGACCCCUGCACAAGGAUGACAUGCAAAUUCGUGAUACGUUCCAUAUUUUU